UUGGAUAUGCCAAGGAGAAGCCACAAAGGCCUUCCUUUAUGUGAAAAGGUUAAGGUUCUCAAGCCAAUAAGAAAAGGAAAAAAAAAUUGUAUGCUGAGGUUGCUGAGAUCUGGUUUAAGAGUGAACCUUCUAUCAACGAAAUGGUGAAGAGUAUAUUGUUAACAAAAGCUCUCUGAGGGCAGGAUUUUUUUAUGGUGUUCACUGGGCCAGGGACCAGGCAAGCCACUCAAAACUGCGGGGUGAACGAGUGAGUGACUCUCCACCCAGGCUGAAGAGCAGCAGCAGAGAACACCCACAUCUGGGGCCCAGCAACCCUCUUUAAGCGCCUGCAGGAGAAGGGGAAUGUGCAGGUCACUUGAGAGGCUCUUUUGAGAAAUGGCUGAAUCCAAGAUCGGGGCAGAAGAAGUACAAGACAUGUCUGAACUAUCUUUUUGUGCCACAAAAGUAAGGAAAUGUUCAAAGAAUCCCGACAACAUGUCCAAAGGACACAGGAGCUCCCACUGGCCAAACCUGGGACAA